CGCCCCCUCUUCGCCCUAACCUAGCAACUCCUCUGGCGGCAGGCGAGCGAGCAGAGAUGAGCGCCCGCCGCUGCUCCUGCAGUACCGGCGGGGAACUUAGGAUUCCGGCGAGAAGGGCAGAGGUGGACGCCUGGGGUGGCCGUGGCCGGGUGUCCAUGGCGGAUGGCGGCUGCAGCGGCGACAGCGCAGGAGACCUAUGCGGCCCGCCUGCAGAGCGUCGGCUCUAUGAGAGCGAGCCGGAAGAUUUGGAAGGAGAGACGGAUGUUCUCUUGGAUCCAAGCACUCUCUAAGCAAAUGAUGGGACGAUUACUCUUUCAACAUAUUCUAUUAGCAAGGAUGGCAAUUGAAAGAUGGAGCGAGUGGAUCACUUAUUCCUAUCAUGCAUUGUAGACAUGAUGCAUUGAGCAUAUGUCUGACAAAUUGUCCUUGAUGCAGACGACAAGGGGUUCAUCGUGCCAAGCACCUUGGUCCUGCUUUUGUGCGACGACGGCAACGGCUACAGAAACAACCAUGGAUGAUGAUAUUCCAUCCCUCA